UACGAAGGGGGCUAGCGUUGCUCGGAAUCACUGGGCGUAAAGCGCACGUAGGCGGAUCUUUAAGUCAGAGGUGAGAUCCCAAGGCUCAACCUUGGAACUGCCUUUGAUACUGGGGAUCUCGAGUCCGGAAGAGGUGAGUGGAACUGCGAGUGUAGAGGUGAAAUUCGUAGAUAUUCGCAAGAACACCAGUGGCGAAGGCGGCUCACUGGUCCGGUACUGACGCUGAGGUGCGAAAGCGUGGGGAGCAAACAGG
rnacentral:rRNA from 1 species